rnacentral:sRNA from 1 species
CUAUUGAUGACGCCACAGCGGUGCGUGUUGCUGUUUCCGGUCUGUUGGCCGCUGGAUUUGUUUUGUUUUGUUUUGGGUUAGGGAUCCGCGAGAAACGAGGAUGGACCGUAAAGGAUGAAGCAAACGUACAGCAUUCAGCUCUGCUACCACAAAUAUGAUUGCCUUAAAGAAGACUGAAAUUGUGUCCUGUGCAGGCCUGACUGUUUUCACUUCAUACAAGUUUCUUCUCUGCUGUUGCAAAUGGAUGACGAGUUUCCUUCCUUUGGUGUGGCAGGCUACCUGAUCUUCACCUAUCCAGAGGAGUUUUGAUUUGAUGGAGCCCCUUAGAUUGGUGUAUGCACUUAUUCCUUUUACGAUCUCAAGCAUGGUAACAAGGAUAGUGACCUUAAGGACUGCCAUCCAGCAUUUGCCUUACUGCCUGACCGGGCCACUCUGGUGCUCUUCCCCUUCGCCGCCCUCAGCUGUUAACAGCUAGCCAUCCUUCUUGGCCUAACAUCUUUCACUUGGAUGCAUUUGUCCAUCACUCUCUUGCUGCUUUGCGUUAUCAGCUCAGCCUGCACUAUUAAAUAUAGGUAGAUACCCAGUGCUGUCAACAUAAGGUGAAGUUUCCACCAAUGU